UGCAUAAAUAAAAGAUUUUCUCUUUGGUCUCCCUGUGACCUAAAUCCAAAAUUAUCACUCUUAGGCCUUGAACUGGAUAGAUUGUGGCUCUCGUGAUGUCGUAUUUGCUAAUGUGUUCAUUUGUCUUGUUCGAGGAAACUGGCUUAAGCUCUUACCAUUUGCAUACAUUAAAAUUUUAGUGCAUCAUCAAGGCAGCGAACGAUUAAACAACACCUUGUUGCAUACAUAUUAAUUGAUCCAUGGCAUUUCCUUUGUUUCAUAGAGGGCUCAGAAUGUUUAUCUUUACAUUUGAUAAAUCUAAUUGAUAAGGUUUGAUUAUUUACCCUUCUCUUUGCAGGUCAUUAAGAAAAUCAUCCACCCAAGUGAUUCAUGCGGUCUAAUUGAUAGUGUCGGCUAAGAUGUUAUUUGUUUAUGGUGUGAUUGGCAAACUGAUUGGUGUGGAAAAAGCUAUCCUGAUCCAAGACCAAUGUUAGAAAAUGAUUCAACAUCAAAACUAAUGCUAAGGACUUCCGGUCGGAUCAUGGAGUUGAACAAGAUGCAAUGAAUCUGCUUGCAGCACAGCUUUAGCCCCAGUUCAGCAACAUCCUGGUCUCCGGCGAAGUGUUCCUGAUCUUGAUCUCUCAUGUGUAUGACUGUACUUGCUUGGCUUUAUUUCUUCAGUUCCAACUAAUUGAUCUGUCUUCUUUGUAGUUGUUCAGAGUAGUUGGCAUGGGAGACGGCAACGACUGGCGCGGGCUCUGCUCAAAGGCUCGCCGGAGACAACCAACAUCUCCACAGUCUACUUGACGUGACCGUCGUCAAACACUGCAAUGCCGAGCACACUACUUGGUGUGGCCGA